AGAGUUUGAUCCUGGCUCAGGAUGAACGCUAGCGGCAGGCCUAAUACAUGCAAGUCGAGGGGUAGAGGAGAGCUUGCUUUCCUUGAGACCGGCGCACGGGUGCGUAACGCGUAUGCAACCUACCUUUAUCUGGGGGAUAGCCCGAAGAAAUUCGGAUUAAUACCGCAUAAGAUCACAGUACCGCAUGGUGCAAUGAUUAAACAUUCAUGGGAUAAAGAUGGGCACGCGUGUCAUUAGCUAGUUGGUGGGGUAACGGCCCACCAAGGCGACGAUGACUAGGGGAUCUGAGAGGAUGACCCCCCACACUGGUACUGAGACACGGACCAGACUCCUACGGGAGGCAGCAGUAAGGAAUAUUGGUCAAUGGAGGCAACUCUGAACCAGCCAUGCCGCGUGCAGGAAGACGGCCCUCUGGGUUGUAAACUGCUUUUAUCCGGGAAUAAACCUACGUUCGUGAACGUAGCUGAAUGUACCGGAAGAAUAAGGAUCGGCUAACUCCGUGCCAGCAGCCGCGGUAAUACGGAGGAUCCAAGCGUUAUCCGGAUUUAUUGGGUUUAAAGGGUGGCGUAGGCGGUUGUUAAGUCAGAUGUGAAAUCCCCGGGCUCAACCUGGGAACUGCAUCUGAUACUGGCAAGCUUGAGUCUCGUAGAGGGGGGUAGAAUUCCAGGUGUAGCGGUGAAAUGCGUAGAGAUCUGGAGGAAUACCGGUGGCGAAGGCGGCCCCCUGGACGAAGACUGACGCUCAGGUGCGAAAGCGUGGGGAGCAAACAGGAUUAGAUACCCUGGUAGUCCACGCCGUAAACGAUGUCGACUUGGAGGUUGUGCCCUUGAGGCGUGGCUACCGGAGCUAACGCGUUAAGUCGACCGCCUGGGGAGUACGGCCGCAAGGUUAAAACUCAAAUGAAUUGACGGGGGCCCGCACAAGCGGUGGAGCAUGUGGUUUAAUUCGAUGCAACGCGAAGAACCUUACCUGGUCUUGACAUCCACAGAACUUUCCAGAGAUGGAUUGGUGCCUUCGGGAACUGUGAGACAGGUGCUGCAUGGCUGUCGUCAGCUCGUGUUGUGAAAUGUUGGGUUAAGUCCCGCAACGAGCGCAACCCUUAUCUUUUGUUGCCAGCGGUCCGGCCGGGAACUCAAAGGAGACUGCCAGUGAUAAACUGGAGGAAGGUGGGGAUGACGUCAAGUCAUCAUGGCCCUUACGACCAGGGCUACACACGUGCUACAAUGGCGCAUACAAAGAGAAGCGACCUCGCGAGAGCAAGCGGACCUCAUAAAGUGCGUCGUAGUCCGGAUUGGAGUCUGCAACUCGACUCCAUGAAGUCGGAAUCGCUAGUAAUCGUGGAUCAGAAUGCCACGGUGAAUACGUUCCCGGGCCUUGUACACACCGCCCGUCACACCAUGGGAGUGGGUUGCAAAAGAAGUAGGUAGCUUAACCUUCGGGAGGGCGCUUACCACUUUGUGAUUCAUGACU
rnacentral:rRNA from 1 species